rnacentral:misc_RNA from 1 species
AACGGUCUAUACCUGCGGUACCUGCGGAAGGAUCAUUACAGGACUCGCAAGACUCCUACAACCCUGUGAACUUAACUAUAAGCACGUUGCUUCGGCGGGUGUCUCGGCGAGGGUUCUCCCUCCCCGGGGCGCUAAGCCCGCCGGCAGCCUACUAUACUCUGUCUCUUUGCGUUGGCAUCUCGAGUACAAACAAACAAGUUAAAACUUUUAGCAACGGAUCUCUAGAUCGGAAGAGCACAC